AGCAUUCUAUCUGCACUUAAGAAUAGAAAAGCAGCAUUCUGAACAGCAAUGCUCAUCACAUAAACAUGAAGUUUCCUCCAAAAGGAAUGAUGACUAAUGCUUUGAGGAAACAGCAGACGUCAGACAGCAAGCCCAGAAAAACCUGCCAGCACCAAGAGGGUGUCCUCAACAGGCGCCUGGGGGACAUAUUAUUCUAACUAAAGAGACCAGAGCUUCCCCAGGAAGGGAAGAGGAGAGAAAUGAAGAACGUCUGUGUUCAUGUUUGCCAAAAACAAAAGUCUGAGAAAUCUCUGAGAGACUCUACAUGGGAGGGCACUAAUCGAAGCACCUCAUUUAAAGUGAGAAAAGCUUUGCUAAGGGCAGAUGAUUCAGCACGGUAUCCUUCGAUGAGUACUGUCAUCUCAAAUCCUUUUUAAGAAGAAAAGUGCAACCCACUGGAGAAAGAGAGGGACUCCGAGGAAGGAGAGAGAGAAGAGCAUCAAGCACAAAUGAUGAUCUCCUAGGACAGUGGCAGCUUCUGAGAAUGCACAGGAAAGUGACCAGGGAAAGAAUGAUUCCAUCUCCAGGAAUCCCUGGUGAUCUUCAGAGCCCAGACAGGACCCUGCUGGGCCAUGGUAACUGAGAAACUGAGAAGCAGAUACAGUGGUCCCUAUGUUGGCAACCUCAGCUGAAGAGGAACAACUCUCUCUAUAAUCAAGACUUAAUCUUGGCCUGGUGUGCCUCAUUUUUAUAGGACUUCUGAAACCAGAAAUCACCAGCGUGGGGAGAGAACAUUAAAGGCAGAGGUGUCUCUUAUAAGCACAACGUGUGACCAGGUAAUACUGUCUGGAUUAGCAGCUGUACAGCCUAACUAAGCCCUGGAGCUACAAUUAUCUGGUCGCAUUAAACUGAAAUCACCUGAAAAACUUCACACUGAACAAGCCUUUGGAAAUGUCUAAUCUGCCAGUUUACACCCAGAAGUGAAAGUGGAAUUCACUUGUUAAAGACAAGAAAACAAAAGUUUUCUGCCAGGAAGAGUCUCAUCUUAGAACCAGUAUAGGGUCUGAAGACAUUUCUGCAAUUUAUGUUUAUGCCAUUCUUUCACUUUUAUUUAAAAAGGAGAUUUAACCUGACCAUUCUCUUUGAAGCCGAUGUCCCAAGUAUAUAUGUUUGAUGAGGGUACAGAAGACAUAAGGAAUAAAACUGCAUUGCCACAGAGGGAAUACACGGCUCCAGAUACAAGGCUUUAUGCUAAUUUUAGCAAAAUGUAUGUAUCUUUUUACAUACAUAAAGUUAUGGCACUAUAUAAAGAGAUCCUUAAAUGUGA
rnacentral:lncRNA from 1 species